UCAUGGCUCAGGACGAACGCUGGCGGCGUGCCUAAUACAUGCAAGUCGAACGAACUCUGGUAUUGAUUGGUGCUUGCAUCAUGAUUUACAUUUGAGUGAGUGGCGAACUGGUGAGUAACACGUGGGAAACCUGCCCAGAAGCGGGGGAUAACACCUGGAAACAGAUGCUAAUACCGCAUAACAACUUGGACCGCAUGGUCCGAGCUUGAAAGAUGGCUUCGGCUAUCACUUUUGGAUGGUCCCGCGGCGUAUUAGCUAGAUGGUGGGGUAACGGCUCACCAUGGCAAUGAUACGUAGCCGACCUGAGAGGGUAAUCGGCCACAUUGGGACUGAGACACGGCCCAAACUCCUACGGGAGGCAGCAGUAGGGAAUCUUCCACAAUGGACGAAAGUCUGAUGGAGCAACGCCGCGUGAGUGAAGAAGGGUUUCGGCUCGUAAAACUCUGUUGUUAAAGAAGAACAUAUCUGAGAGUAACUGUUCAGGUAUUGACGGUAUUUAACCAGAAAGCCACGGCUAACUACGUGCCAGCAGCCGCGGUAAUACGUAGGUGGCAAGCGUUGUCCGGAUUUAUUGGGCGUAAAGCGAGCGCAGGCGGUUUUUUAAGUCUGAUGUGAAAGCCUUCGGCUCAACCGAAGAAGUGCAUCGGAAACUGGGAAACUUGAGUGCAGAAGAGGACAGUGGAACUCCAUGUGUAGCGGUGAAAUGCGUAGAUAUAUGGAAGAACACCAGUGGCGAAGGCGGCUGUCUGGUCUGUAACUGACGCUGAGGCUCGAAAGUAUGGGUAGCAAACAGGAUUAGAUACCCUGGUAGUCCAUACCGUAAACGAUGAAUGCUAAGUGUUGGAGGGUUUCCGCCCUUCAGUGCUGCAGCUAACGCAUUAAGCAUUCCGCCUGGGGAGUACGGCCGCAAGGCUGAAACUCAAAGGAAUUGACGGGGGCCCGCACAAGCGGUGGAGCAUGUGGUUUAAUUCGAAGCUACGCGAAGAACCUUACCAGGUCUUGACAUACUAUGCAAAUCUAAGAGAUUAGACGUUCCCUUCGGGGACAUGGAUACAGGUGGUGCAUGGUUGUCGUCAGCUCGUGUCGUGAGAUGUUGGGUUAAGUCCCGCAACGAGCGCAACCCUUAUUAUCAGUUGCCAGCAUUAAGUUGGGCACUCUGGUGAGACUGCCGGUGACAAACCGGAGGAAGGUGGGGAUGACGUCAAAUCAUCAUGCCCCUUAUGACCUGGGCUACACACGUGCUACAAUGGAUGGUACAACGAGUUGCGAACUCGCGAGAGUAAGCUAAUCUCUUAAAGCCAUUCUCAGUUCGGAUUGUAGGCUGCAACUCGCCUACAUGAAGUCGGAAUCGCUAGUAAUCGCGGAUCAGCAUGCCGCGGUGAAUACGUUCCCGGGCCUUGUACACACCGCCCGUCACACCAUGAGAGUUUGUAACACCCAAAGUCGGUGGGGUAACCUUUUAGGAACCAGCCGCCUAAGGUGGGACAGAUGAUUAGGGUGAAGUCGUAACAAGGUAACCGUAA
rnacentral:rRNA from 1 species